rnacentral:sRNA from 2 species
UGGAUCGUCUCGCUGAGUCUCCGUAUGGAGAACGGGGGAACCAAUAUUGUUUUGCCGCAUGCAGAGUACUUCAAGCACAGCAUAGAAUGCCGCAGACACUAUUUGAUUUCUUCACGUGGUCUUUGGGGUGAAUUUAAGGGCAACCGCCGUGAGCGGGUGACCCGAGAUAGGGCGUCUCUCUUUCGUCCGAACCCGACAGCUAACCCCGUAAGCGAAAGUAAGAGAGGAA